UUAAGUUCAGCGGGUAGUCUUACUUGAUUUGAGAUCGAGUUUUACAAAGCUGUUGCCAGCUAAGCGUAAUUCUGCAUCAGUCAGCCAAGAGCUCUUCCUUUGGUGUAAGCUUCAGCAGAUUAAUAAUCCUUUUUACGGGACUAAUUAAGUAUGCUAUUAGCUCAGAAGAAAACUCAGCUGCACCUGCAUUUCAAGCAACC
rnacentral:misc_RNA from 1 species